rnacentral:tRNA from 1 species
GGGCGCAUGGUGUAGUUGGUUAUCACAUCCGCUUAGCAUUCAUAUGCGUUUGCGGGGGGUGCUGGGUUCAAUUCCCAGUGCGUCCA